AUUGAACGCUGGCGGCAGGCCUAACACAUGCAAGUCGAGCGGAGCGGCGGACGGGUGAGUCAUGCCUAGGAAUCUGCCUGUUAGUGGGGGAUACCGUCCGGAAACGGGCGCUAAUACCGCAUCCUAUCAGAUUAGCCUAGGUCGUAUUAGCUUGUUGGUGGGGUAAAGGCCUACCAAGGCGACGAUCAGUAACUGGUCUGAGUGGAUGAUCAGUCACACUGGAACUGAGACACGGGCCAGACUCCUACGUGAGGCAGCAGUGGGGAAUAUUGGACAAUGGGCGAAAGUCUGAUCCAGCCAUGCCGCGUGUGUGAAGAAGGUCUUCGGAUUGUAAAGCACUUUAAGUUGGGAGGCGUUACCAACAGAAUAAGCACCGGCUAACUUCGUGCCAGCAGCCGCGGUAAUAC
rnacentral:rRNA from 1 species